ensembl:lncRNA
AGUUAGACUGUGGGGCUGCAGGCCAUGAGUAGAGGAGGGGGUUGUCGGAAAAGGGGUGUGGAUGGGUCUGCACCGCUAUGGGAGGCCUGCUCAUGCUAGUGUCUGCUAUGGGAGCUGGAGGCCACUGAAAAGGAAAAAGGGGUAAGUAGCAGCAGGAGGAAGGUCUGAGAUGUGAGGGUCUGUGUUGCAAGCGGAAGCAGCUUCGCACUUGCUUCACGUGCUGUAGGCCACAGGAAGGGAAUCCUGAAGACCCUGUGUGUAGCCUGCACUGAUAGCGGAGGCAGCCUCACGCUAGCGUUUGCUACGGGAGCUGGAGGCCAGUUUGCUUCAGCUGUUGUAGCUGUAGGCCGUGGGAAGGGGUUGGGGUGUAUGCUGUCUUGUAGAACCUGUGUAGCCUGCACUGCUAGCAGAGGCAACCUUAUGUUAAUGUCUUCUACGUGAGCAGGAGGACACUGAAAAGAAAAAAGUGGGUUAGAAGUAACAGGAUGGAAAAACUGGGAUGUGGUGUUGCAAGUAGAAGCAGCUUCAUGCUUGCUUCGGCUGCUGUAGUUGUUGACUGUGGGAAAGUAGAAGGUUUAGUAACAUUUGACGGGACAAGCUAAAAAUGCCUGGGUAGCCUACUGUGUUGGUGGUUUAGCAAUUGGUUGCCUGAUUUGACAAUUCCUCAAGCCUUGUCCACAUUAAUACGUUCCUGUUGAAAAGCAUCUUUUCCUCUUGUUUUGGCCUUCCAGCCUUUUUAAACGCUCUCCAGAGCAGAUAAAUUUGAGAAUGCUGUUUUCACGUUAUAGUAUGGACUGUGGAAACAGAGGCUUUUGAAAACGAUGAAGCAUGUUUAGUCUUGUAACACAUCAGGGUUUCCCACACAUUGAUUUAUUUGUGGCGGGCCGCCACAAUAUCAAAACUGACCACCACAAAUAUAUUUUCCAAAAGGCUUUGACUUCAUUGAAUAAACAUGAACACUGCACGUUUCAAAAUAAAAAAAAAACGAUGCGGGUGUUUUUAUAUCACUGUAUUUCAAAAGAAACAAAUAUCUGUACAACAAAUCAUCAAAUGGCAUGAAAGAUACCAUUUAUUUGGACAAGGAAACAAAUUCCUUAACAUAAUAUAUACUUAUCAACGAAAUUAAAAUCCUACUAAAAUUUACCUUUAAUAUUUUCAAUUUCGUUGUCAUAAAUUAUAGAUCAGAAGCUGUAUUUACAGUAACGUUAUAUGAUCACAACUCACCUCUGCUCUUUAAUCGCUGCGUAGGUCUUUCGCGGGAAAUUGAGGAUAAAUGAGGUGAUGUCAUCGGCACGUGUCAUCCGCCGACAUGUGUAUGUAAAUGACGUUGUGACGUUUUUGGAUUGCACGUUGAAGUUGUGCGUCCGUCUAUUUGUAUUUAAAAUAAACAGAAGUAAAGCACUUACACCUCAUAAACACCUUUUCCUAUCAAUUAAUUACUUAACAAAGCCGUAAAGAGACGCCUAAAAUAUAAAGCAAAAAAAAAAAAUAAUAAUAAUUAUAAAAGCGAAUACAUCUUGUGUUGUGUUCUUCCAGCUGUAUUGCGCAGACCGAACGUCACGUGACAGACAAUUAUCGCGAGUGUUCCGAUUCAGUUGCUGGUUACAGAGAGAUCUCUUGUUAAAAGGCAGAGGUUUUCUUCUUAAAGCAGAAGUUCUAUUAUGAUUAACAUAUGUUUCAUAUAGGUGGAGAAAUCCACGUGUAAAUUAAUUUAUGGCAUCAUAAACAUUUUAUGGUAAAACAAACCUCAUUAGGCUAUAAUACAAAUUAUAAAUUCUAACCAAUGUGGUUUGAACAUUAGUAAUUUCAAUCAUUUUAUUAUUACAAUUAAAUAAACUAACUUACCUUCUUAACAACACAUUUAAUUCUCACAGAUUGGUGGCAUUUGUUUUUUUAUGUGUAAUUAUGAUAUGCAAAAAUCUGUAAAAUCUAACUUUCACUCAGGUGCUUCAAGCAUAGACGCUCAUCUACAAGCAUAACUUUUCUCCCCAUAGAUUUUACAUCUAGAACAAUAAGAAUAGGAAAGGGAUAUUACAAAAACAUUGUGUUAAAGGGUUCAUAUGUUGCUAAAAAAAGAACAUUAUUUUUGUGUAAUUGGUGUAAUGCAAUGUGUUUAUGCAGUUUAAGGUAAAAAACACAUUAUUUUUCCAUAUAAAGUAUAUUAUUGUUUCUCCUCUAUGCCCCCCCUCUAUGGAAAUGUUACGCCCCUUAACAUACUGUGAUGCGUGUCCCAGCACGACGAGACAAAAACCAAUAAAACCCAUUACAAACAAGGCAUUUGCUGCAUCCAGUGGGGACAUAACUACUGAUUAUAAUGACUUAUAAUGUCUUUUUUCAUGUUGCGUAUCGCGCUGCGUAAACAUAAAACCAUGUCUGCAUUUGUGAUCGGAGAAACAACAAACAACAAGUGCUACUCUACACUGCUUAAAACUCACGUUUGAAUCAUCAGUGGCACAGUCUUUAAAUAUGUAAACGUACUUACAGUCUGUGAGUCAGAAGCACCAGACUGUCCUUGCAAAGUUGGAACUGCCCCACUUUAUAGAAACAUACACCGGUAUUGUAGUCUAAUCUCACAGGAAACAGUCCUCUGUAAAAUACACUGCACACAUCUGAAUAUUAGGGUUGGACUGUUCUGGAACAGUGUUGUAAUUCAACUUAUCCACUGAUUUCUAGUUGUGUCCUCAUUUGGAAGACCAAACAAGGUUGCUUCUCUUUCACAAUGAAACACACAGCGACUCCACGAUAUGGCGCCAGCGGCAACAGAGAGAAUAAAAGUUAGACCUUCUUUCUUUGCGUGGGUGGCGUUAUGCAAAUCUUCCCACAUCGUGACGUAGACAUGUGGGGCGUGUUAGAACGAGGUAUUUUAGGAGGACGUGGUUGAGUCUUAACUAUUUCAUACUAUUCAUUAAUGAAUGUCUGCUUUUUAGGUAUACAGCAUUUCAUUUAGAACUGUGGCCAAAAGAAAUUAUGAUUAUCACAAUAUCUAUGACAGUUAAAAAUAAUACUUCUGUCAGUCAAAUUAAUUUCAGAUUUGGUUUAUUUUGUGUUUUCUCACAUUCAGUGUACGAGUGUAGAGAGGCAGAGAGUUUGAUACUGUGGUCCUUCAGGUAAAAUGUUAAACAGGUAAUAAACCAUCAUCUACUAUGAUGAUGUGUCAACCAGAUACUGCGACAAUUAUUUACAGUAUGUAUUUGUAGUAUUAUAUUAAUGAUCAAUUAUCAUGAUUUUGAUCCUUAAUUGCAUUCUCAAAAAGGAUUUAAAACAUAUGCAUGACCAAUAUUGUCUUGACCUUAACUGAUAUGUAGUGUUUUAAUUGGAAUAAAGCCAGCUUCCACUAUUAUUUCUUAAAUUAAGUCCUACUUAAAAUAUCGGAAACAAACAUAUUCCUUACAAAUUGUAUAAUAAACAAAAAGUUCUAAAAGUAUUACAAAUCAGCUGACACAUUCACAUUUGGUGUAGAAAUAAUGUUUUCUUGACUUGAUUAGAGUUCAUCCCAAAGCUGCUGAAGUGAAGUUAGAAGAGUUUGUGUCAGUGUCUCUCGCCCUUCCCCCACCUCAGCUGAUCACCCCUCCCCCACACAGCAGCACACACACUGUUGAGCUGUUUGACUGACUCCUGUUGAACAUUAGUGUGCUGCUGUGUGGGGGAGGGGUGAUCAGGGCCAUGAAAAGUUAUGCUUGUAGAUGAGCGUCUAUGCCUGAAGCACCUGAGUGAAAG